rnacentral:rRNA from 1 species
GACGAACGCUGGCGGCGUGCCUAAUACAUGCAAGUCGAGCGAAGUUUUUCCGGUGCUUGCACUAGAAAAACUUAGCGGCGAACGGGUGAGUAACACGUAAAGAACCUGCCUCAUAGACUGGGACAACUAUUGGAAACGAUAGCUAAUACCGGAUAACAGUAUUUCUCGCAUGAGAGAUAUUUAAAAGUUGGUUAUGCUAACACUAUGAGAUGGCUUUGCGGUGCAUUAGCUAGUUGGUGGGGUAAAGGCCCACCAAGGCGACGAUGCAUAGCCGACCUGAGAGGGUGAUCGGCCACACUGGGACUGAGACACGGCCCAGACUCCUACGGGAGGCAGCAGUAGGGAAUCCUCCGCAAUGGGCGAAAGCCUGACGGAGCAACGCCGCGUGAGUGAAGAAGGAUUUCGGUUCGUAAAGCUCUGUUGUUGGGGAAGAAUGGAUAUGUAGUAACUAUACAUGUAAGAGACGGUACCUAACCAGAAAGCCACGGCUAACUACGUG